AAUGAACGUUGGCGGCGUGGAUUAGGCAUGCAAGUCGAGCGAGAAAGUCUCCUUCGGGAAACUGGAAAGCGGCAAACGGCGUAGUAAGGCGUCGGUUACGUACCCCAGGGACCGGGAUAGCCGGGGGAAACCGCGGGUAAUACCGGAUGAUCUCUAUUGAGCAAAGGGUGAGAUUCCGCCCUGGGAGCGGCUGACGUGGUAUUAGCUUGUUGGUGAGGUAACGGCUCACCAAGGCGACGAUGCCUAGGGGGUGUGAGAGCAUGGCCCCCACGACUGGGACUGAGAUACUGCCCAGACACCUACGGGUGGCUGCAGUCGAGAAUCUUCGGCAAUGGGCGAAAGCCUGACCGAGCGACGCCGCGUGCGGGAUGAAGGCCCUUGGGUUGUAACCGCUGUCAGAGGGGAUGAAGUCACAGCAGGCUAUCCUGCUGUGUUGACAGAGCCU
rnacentral:rRNA from 1 species